rnacentral:rRNA from 1 species
UACAGAGGUCUCAAGCGUUGUUCGGAUUCAUUGGCGUAAAGGUGCGUAGGCGGCGCGGUAAGUCGGGUGUGAAUCUUGGAGCUUAACUCCGAAACUGCAUUCGAUACUGCCGUGCUUGAGGACUGGAGAGGAGACUGGAAUUACGGUGUAGCGGUGAAAUGCGUAGAUAUCGUAAGGAGACCAGUGGCGAAGGCGGUCUCUGGACAGUCCUGACGCUGA